ACAUUGUUUCACUCUCUCUGUUGAGAAAACAGUCUCCACAAUGAUGGGGACAGUCACUCUAUUCCUGUUGCCAUGGAGAUCUUUGUGCCUUGUAUUGUGCCUGACAUUCCAAGCAUCUAGGUUCAGUGAAUGAAGAGCUAAAAUACAUGGAUGAAUGCUUUCAUUUCGCCUGAUUUCUGAGCACCUUCUGGCUGAUAAUGGCAAUAAUACCUUAGGAAAAAGGGUUCAGGUAGCUCUGCUCAUGGACAUAUACCUAUGACAAUCCAGCCACAGCUGAGGACGUGGCAAGUGCUUCUCAAGCUAAAGGAGCAACGGUCUCUAGGAGUGGCAAGCAUGCUCAGAUGAUUCCUGUUUGCAAGAAUUGUUCUCCCUUUCCCUCUCCCUCUCCUUCUCCCUCUCCUCCUACCCUCCUCUCCUUCAUGGCUGGAUAAGGAAUCAGACACAACAAAUAUGGAAAUGUGAAGCAAAAGGGAAUAAAUACAACUGUCAUCCCGGAAGGACAAUAAAAA